UCACAGUACCUCAGCGCCUGGGGCGAGCCAUUGUGUGGCAACAGGCGGGAGGGGAAGGGCCUCUGGGCGUGGUGAGGUGGGUGCAUUAAAUGGCCGACCUGCUUAAUCCUGCCAGCCUCACACAGAUCUGCCACAGCUCCCUCCUUCACAGGACGGGCAGUCACAGAGCUGUUGAGACAACAUAAGUUGCAGGAGAAUUUCUGAAGUUACUCUGAGUGACACAUUUGAGCACUGGAAUGCCCUUGCAGUGUCACCAUUGUAUUUAUUCUUGAGGGAUUCUUGCCUAGAUCUGAUUUCUGAAAGCAAGUCUAUUCAUCUCCCUGUGCUUUUGAAACAAUGGCUUAGGGUGGUGAAGAACUGUUGGACUGGGAGCUGGUGCCACUGAAGCAUAAUGGCAAAGAGAUCUGUCUCACCAGUCUGAUCAAAGAAACCAAUAUUCAUGGCAGAACAGAUUUCAACAGUGGUAUUUCUGGCUAAAGACACACAAAGUGCUUGGGAAGUAAUUUAACAAUGGAGUGAUCUUAUGGUAAAGUGUUAGAACAGGACAUUAGUAAACAGUAAGAGUUUGACAUACAGUAGUGUAGAAGAAUCAUUGAUUUGUGGUGCUAUUACAUAUGGCUGGUCUAAGGCUAUGUCAAAAUAGUGUUUUCUGGCAGCAAGACCCACAGAGAUUGUCUGUAGUUCAUGGUAGCAGUAAAGACAUAAUGUUCAUAGCAGAAAAGUAUAUGGGGCAAUAAACAGUUUUUGUUGGGCAUUAAAUAAGGAAAUGAAGUUAAAAGCUUUACUUAUGAAUAUAAGUCUUGCUGGAGGAUGAAUGUGAUCUAAAUAAAUAAACUUCAAUGUAACCA